GGCUGCGUAGUUCAACGGAUAGAAUGAGGGUUUCCUAAACUUUAGAUGUGGGUUCGAUUCCCGCCGCGGCCACAA
rnacentral:tRNA from 1 species